CACCCGUGUCUAUCGUACCUUGUUGCUUCGGCGGGCCCGCCGUUUCGACGGCCGCCGGGGAGGCCCUGCGCCCCCGGGCCCGCGCCCGCCGAAGACCCCAACAUGAACGCUGUUCUGAAAGUAUGCAGUCUGAGUUGAUUAUCGUAAUCAGUUAAAACUUUCAACAACGGAUCUCUUGGUUCCGGCAUCGAUGAAGAACGCAGCGAAAUGCGAUAAGUAAUGUGAAUUGCAGAAUUCAGUGAAUCAUCGAGUCUUUGAACGCACAUUGCGCCCCCUGGUAUUCCGGGGGGCAUGCCUGUCCGAGCGUCAUUGCUGCCCUCAAGCACGGCUUGUGUGUUGGGCCCCCGUCCCCCUCUCCCGGGGGACGGGCCCGAAAGGCAGCGGCGGCACCGCGUCCGGUCCUCGAGCGUAUGGGGCUUUGUCACCUGCUCUGUAGGCCCGGCCGGCGCCAGCCGACACCCAACUUUAUUUUUCUAAGGUUGACCUCGGAUCAGGUAGGGAUACCCGCUGAACUUAAGCAUAUCAUA
rnacentral:rRNA from 1 species